AAACUAAAGAGUUUGAUCCUGGCUCAGAUUGAACGCUGGCGGCAUGCCUUACACAUGCAAGUCGAACGGCAGCACGGAGCUUGCUCUGGUGGCGAGUGGCGAACGGGUGAGUAAAAUAUCGGAACGUACCCAGGAGUGGGGGAUAACGUAGCGAAAGUUACGCUAAUACCGCAUACGUCCUAAGGGAG
rnacentral:ncRNA from 1 species